rnacentral:tRNA from 1 species
GAAAGUAGAGCUCAGUGGUAGAGUAUGUGCUUAGUGUGCACGAGGUCCUGGGUUCAAUCCCCAGUACCUCCA